GCGGUUUCUUUGCCGCCCAAACGCUUUUCGAGGCGGUCGAUCCUUUUUCCCGCCCUCCCCCAAAGGACGAGAGAGAGAGAAAGGGAGUAGAUCCAGGGGUUUUCGAUCUUUCGUCCAGAAGAAAUUUGGUGUCUUCUGGUUCAUCCGAUUGCUGUGGCGGUGGAGAGAGGCACCACCGAGAGCUCAUAACGGAGAUAGCGAAGGACGGCUGAUGACGCCUUUAGCAUUCUUAAGAGCUGUGGGAGGAGGAGCUUUUGCCAAUUUGGAGAGAAAUUGCCAAGAAAUCAACAAUUGAAAGGAGAAAUGAGAAAUCACUGCAUUGAGGAUGAAGAUUAUAGUGAAGAUGAAAAAGAUGAAUAGACAGAUUCUAAUGAAGAUGAAGGUAUCCUUCUAAAUACUGUGAAUGAUUAAAUAUGGUCUGAGAGGCAGCGGAACUGGGCAAACUUGAGAAUCGGAUCUCUGCAACUGUUGGAUAUGGUUGGGAUGAGAGGAAGAGGGAAGAAGUCACAUUCAGCCUUCGGCAGAGGACUUGAGAUAAGACGCUAUACCUCUAAUGCUUUUAUUUUUAUGCUACCAUCAUAGGGAGGUUGAUUACGGUCACCACUAUAAACAGCAAGUAUGACAAGGGCAUACCAUAUUAAGUGACGUCACUGUAAACAACAAAUAGCAGAAAACAACAACUAACUUUAGCUGUGGAUGAUAAAAAAGGACUUGAGUCUUAACCCACACCUGUGGGCAGUCGGAUGAUGUUCUAAUAAUGCUCGCUUCUCAAGUUGCAACAUCUAUAAUUUGUCUUUUAGUAAAUUAUUGUAAUCUCUCGACAAACAUU